rnacentral:rRNA from 1 species
GACGAACGCUGGCGGCGUGCUUAACACAUACAAGUCGAACGAAAAGAGGGAAAGAGCUUGCUCUUUCCGGAAUUGAGUGGCAAACGGGUGAGUAACACGUAAACAACCUGCCUUCAGGAUGGGGACAACAGACGGAAACGACUGCUAAUACCGAAUAAGUUCCAAGAGCCGCAUGGCCCAUGGAAGAAAAGGUGGCCUCUACCUGUAAGCUAUCGCCUGAAGAGGGGUUUGCGUCUGAUUAGCUGGUUGGAGGGGUAACGGCCCACCAAGGCGACGAUCAGUAGCCGGUCUGAGAGGAUGAACGGCCACACUGGAACUGAGACACGGUCCAGACUCCUACGGGAGGCAGCAGUGGGGAAUCUUCCGCAAUGGGCGAAAGCCUGACGGAGCAACGCCGCGUGAGUGAUGACGGCCUUCGGGUUGUAAAACUCUGUGAUCCGGGACGAAAAGGCAGAGUGCGAAGAACAAACUGCAUUGACGGUACCGGAAAAGCAAGCCACGGCUAACUACGUG